GUUCGGACUGCUGAAAGGAUUAUUGGUACUCCCCUGCCCACCCUUCAAGAACUGUAUACAUCCAGAGUGAGGAAAAGGGCUCAGAAAAUCACUCUGGAUCCCUCACACCCAAGUUACCCCAUCUUUGAACUCUUGCCAUCUGGCCGGCGCUUCAGAGCCGCAAAUACCAGGACAGUCAGGCACAAGAACAGUUUCUUCCCCCAGGCAAUCUACCUCAUGAACAGUUAAAUGUUCCCCACUUAUACAAUAAAAAUGUGCAAUAUCCUUAUAUUUAUUUGUUACCCCUUCAUCCUAGUACAUCCCUGCAUCUUACUCAAUCCAACUCCAUUAUCAUUUAUAGCACAAUUGUUUAUACACUUAUUUAUCUGCAAAGGGUUUUUAUUUUUUAUUUUUCUGACUGUGUGUUGUUGUCUUUUGUGUACUGGAAGCUUAUGUCACUAAAACAAAUUCCUUGUAUGCGCAAGCAUACUUGGCAAUAAAGCUCUUUCUGAUUCUGAUUCUGAUUCUGAUUCUGAUUCUGAUUCUGAUGCACCGUGUUCAUGACAGUGUUUAUGUAACUGCACUUCCCAGGUGCUGCAGUGGCCAGUUUCUGGAUACUGAAGAACUGAAAGCAUGACUUUAUGAGUAGUCGACUUUCACUUGUAUAUGUUUUGAACACCUCGCUCCCUCUUUCCUGCACUCUGUCUCUUGUUUUUAUUUUUUUAAAUAGCCCCUCAUGAACCUACAAAGCCUUUACUGUACAGAAAGAGAAGGCUGAUGUCUUUUCUGACGCAAAACCAUGUUUAUCUGUAGUUGUAGAACUUCCAUAUCCAGGUCUGAGGAGAACUGUGUACAGAUUAACUAUUAGAGAAAACUAGUAUUGAGCCCAUGUACCUGUGGAACAUUAGAAUGUAUUUGCCCCUCGUUUAGCACCUUUCCGAAUAAAUGCUUACGACCAGCCUAUCACAGCCCGAUACAACAUGAUCACGGCCGAUGCAGCCUGAAGGCCCUGCUCCCUUGAUUUUCAGUGACAAAUGUUGAUGUUUUAAUAUUUCAGUCAAUAUGUAUUUUACCAAGGGCAUCUGUGUUGUCGGAAAUUGUAGAAAUGCAAUUUUUGUUUAUUAAACAGAUCAAUUUUAUCCUGUUAUUGAGUCUCAGAUUGUGUUUCACGAACGUGUUGCAUACUUAUACUGCUGAUUUUUGAAACAAAGGCAGUUUUAAAGUGCAACAAAGGUGAGAUUUACAUUUAUCAGACACUUUUAUCCAAAGCAACUUACAGUGCAUUCAGGCUAUACAUUUUUUACCAGUAUGUUCCCUGGGAAUUGAACCCACAACCUUUUGCGCUGCUAGCAAUGCUUGACCACUGAGCCAUAGGAACAGAUACAACUAAAUGGGCACAAAUAUAACGGAACAAAGCAAUAAGUAGCAGAUACCUAAACUAAACCAAACUACUAAAGUAACAGAUUUGGUUUUGCUGGGCCAAGAAGAGUGGUGAAUUAUUUUCUGCAUUAGGCUUACUUUGUUUACAUAGUCAGUAAUCUGGAAUCGGCCAUCUUUGAAAUGCCUCUCGGGCAGCUAUUUCAGUCAUGCAACUACAGCUCCUAUCUCAUUUCACCAAUGAAAUCUUAGCAAGAACUGCCUCAUAAAUGUUGUUUCUUAUGCACAAAUAGCAUUAAUAAAAGCUUAUCUUUAGCCUAG
ensembl:lncRNA